GCAGGAGGACUCAGGGGUGAUUCAGAGGAGGACUCAGGGGUGAUGCAGGAGGACUCAGGGGUGAUGCAGGAGGACUCAGGGUGAUGCAGGAGGACUCAGGGGUGAUGUAGGAGGACUCAGGGGUGAUUCAGAGGAGGACUCAGGGGUGAUGCAGGAGGACUCAGGGUGAUGCAGGAGGACUCAGGGGUGAUGCAGGAGGUCUCAGGGGUGAUUCAGAGGAGGACUCAGGGGUGAUUCAGAGGAGGACUCAGGGGUGAUGCAGGAGGACUCAGGAGUGAUGCAGGAGGACUCAGGGUUAUGCAGAAGGACUCAGGGGUGAUUCAGAGGAGGACUCAGGGUGAUGCAGGAGGACUCAGGGGUGAUGCAGGAGGACUCAGGGGUGAUGCAGGGAGGACUCAGGGGUGAUGCAGGAGGACUCGGGGUGAUGCAGGGAGGACUCAGGGUGAUGCAGGAGGACUCAGGGGUGAUGCAGGAGGACUCAGGGAUGAUGCAGGAGGACUCAGGGUGAUGUAGGAGGACUCAGGGUGAUGCAGGAGGACUCAGGGUGAUGCAGAAGGACUCCAGAGGGCACGUGACCUAAGCCUUUAACUAGUCCUUCCCAGAAGGACUCAGGGAAGAUGCAGGGAGGACUCAGGGUGAUGCAGGAGGACUCAGGGGUGAUUCAGAGGAGGACUCAGGGGUGAUGCAGGAGGACUCAGGGGUGAUGUAGGAGGACUCAGGGUGAUUCAGAGGAGGACUCAGGGGUGAUGCAGGAGGACUCAGGGUGAUUCAGAGGAGGACUCAGGGUGAUUCAGAGGAGGACUCAGGGGUGAUGCAGGAGGACUCAGGGUGAUUCAGAGGAGGACUCAGGGGUGAUUCAGAGGAGGACUCAGGGUGAUGCAGGAGGACUCAGGGGUGAUACAGGAGGACUCAGGGGUGAUGCAGGAGGACUCAGGGUGAUGCAGGAGGACUCAGGGGUGAUGCAGGAGGAUUCAGGGGGAUGCAGGAGGACUCAGGGUGAUUUAGGGGCGGACACUGUGAGCCAUGCUGAGGAGCAGCAAUACCCUGAGAAGGUGUGCUGUGACCCAGCUCUGCCCUGUCCCCGCAGGUGGAGUGUCACUGGUGUGAGCCAGGAGCACAGCAGGGCUCUAGCAGCUGGUUGAGAUGCUGCCCACAGCAUGGCUGUCACCUGCUUUUGUGCCCCCAGUUUGUCUGGAUCCCUGCUCCAGAGCCGGUUGGAGGCCUUGGAGAGCUGAGGGGACCCGUUGCCCACUCUCUGCGCUGCCGGCAUCCUAACCUCUCCACGUGGAGGGCGGAGGUGGAGGCAGAGGCUCACUGCUGUCCUCCAGAGCCUGGGGAGCUGACUGAGGCUCAGGAUCCGGCCAGGAGAGGCCCCACACAGGACCCCAGUCCCCCCCGAGCUCCUGGCAUCUCAGCAGCCAGCAGGUGGCUUGGAUUCAGCCCACUGAGGGUCCCAGCAGGACACUGGAGGGGCAGAUGAGAGGAAGCUGGCCCAGCAGACACUAUGUGCAGUGGCAGGGCAGAGCUGGACCGCUGGCCUGGGAGCGAGGGAGCAUCUGCAGGGCCGGCAGAGACCGGUUGUCCCUGGAAACCUCUCUGGAGGGGAGGUGCUAGCCGGCCAUCACCACGGCUCCUGUCCACUGUCCCGACAUUCCUCAGCUUUGUGGUGACCUGGAGAACUGCACGGUCCUCCCAAUCAACCUCACUGCCAGGCAGGUGGCCGUCAGUCUCCAAGGCAAAGGCAUGUCCGUGGAGGACAGCCCUGGUGCACACAGCCCCAGAGUGCGAUUAUGGGUCCUGGAGGUGGGAGCCCCCUAGGGUCCGUCUCCAGAGGGUGUGAGGGUGUGCGCGGAUCACCUCCAACUCCUGCGAGGUCCCUGCUGUGGGGGCCUAACGACCCUGCAGCAACAGGUUACUGGACCCUGUCCAAGGAAAGCAGGAGUCUGCACGUGACCUGAGCCAGCGUCCAGGCCACCCCUGACCUGCCACCCCCCCACCCACUGUCAGAGAUGUAAAGAGCUGGGGGAGCAGGGGACCUAGGCUCCGGUCACGUCUGUGCCACUGCAAGGUCACCACACAGAGCCCUCCAUGAACACGAGGUCAAGGUCCGAGCAGGGUUGCCAGGGCUGGGCAGUGGGCCAGCACCUGGGUUCCAUGGUGAGGAAGCUUCUGGCCCCUAGCACCUGUCCCCAAACUCCGGGUCAGAGCCCUGAUUCUCCAGCAGACGAGUGGCCUCACACAGGUGAUUUUGCUUGUUUUGGUUAAUUACGUGACGGAUCUGGUCUCGACUCUACUGAGAAGGGCCAAGGUCUGGGAACAGAGGGACAGUGGGGCUUGGAGGACCAGGGAGAGGGGCUGUGCUUUCUGGGUUGGGACUAAGCCUUUAACUAGAAAGCACUUCCAGAACAGCAUGAUGUGAGCAUCUCAACAGAGCAUUUAGAAUAAUCCCUAAAAUAAAUAUGUCAGACGCAUAAUGGGGUGAGCCUUCUGUUCGCCCCACAGCUCAGGAGCCAGAGGUCACCCACAUCCCAGAGCCCAGGGUCCCUCCAAACCCAAG
rnacentral:lncRNA from 1 species